rnacentral:rRNA from 1 species
UGGGGAAUUUUGCACAAUGGGGGAAACCCUGAUGCAGCGACGCCACGUGAUUUAGAAGGCCUUCGGGUUGUAAAAAUCUUUUCUAUGGGAAGAAAAUGACAGUACCAUAGGAAUAAGGACCGGCUAAUUACGUGCCAGCAGCCGCGGUAAUACGUAAGGUCCGAGCGUUGUCCGGAAUCAUUGGGCGUAAAGGGUACGUAGGCGGGUAAGCAAGUUAGAAGUGAAAUCCUAUAGCUCAACUAUAGUAAGCUUUUAAAACUGCUCAUCUUGAGGUAUGGAAGGGAAAGUGGAAUUCCUAGUGUAGCGGUGAAAUGCGCAGAUAUUAGGAGGAAUACCGGUGGCGAAGGCGACUUUCUGGCCAUAACCUGACGCUGAGGUACGAAAGCGUGGGUAGCAAACAGG